UGCUGGGAAACAAAUUUGGGCCC
rnacentral:piRNA from 1 species